GAGAAAGAGAUAGAAGAAAUGAG
rnacentral:siRNA from 1 species